CUACGUAGGGGGCGAGCGUUGUCCGGAAUGAUUGGGCAUAAAGGGCGCGUAGGCGGCGCGGCAAGUCUGGCGUGAAAGUCCUGCUUUCAAGGGGGGAAUUGCUUUGGAUACUGCCGCGCUUGAGUGCAGGAGAGGUUAUCGGAAUUCCCGGUGUAGCGGUGAAAUGCGUAGAGAUCGGGAGGAACACCAGUGGCGAAGGCGGGUAACUGGACUGCAACUGACGCUGAGGCGCGAAAGUGUGGGGAGCAAACAGGAUUAGAUACCCUGGUAGUCCACACUGUAAACGAUGAAUGCUAGGUGUAAGAGGUAUCGACCCCUUUUGUGCCGGAGUCAACACAAUAAGCAUUCCGCCUGGGGAGUACGGCCGCAAGGUUGAAACUCAAAUGAAUUGACGGGG
rnacentral:rRNA from 1 species